rnacentral:lncRNA from 1 species
UUUGAGAUUGGUAAGUUGUGAUGUCUUGGAUGAGACAAAGACCAACUAAGACCAAUUGUGUGGAAUGUUAGUCUUGAUAAGAAUCCAUACUAUCCCUUGAAUAUUUGUUUUGUGAAGGAAUGGUUCUUGACUGGGGAAACUCAUAUGUCAAGGGGACAGUGGGAGCCUUAAAGAUCCUGAAAGAGUUUCAAGAUUUAAUCAAGAGUAAAACCUAUAAUUUAUCACUAGCACACGACUUAAGGUUUGCAACCUUUCAUGUUGACAUAAUUCUUACUUCUGUACCUACUUCAAAUAAGUUGAAUUNGAAUCAACUAACUUGAUUUUCUCCAAUUAUAGAUAUCUGGUUCAGAAAACUAUGGUCUUCCCAAAUCCCUUGAAGAUGGUGUCCCUCAACAUCAUGCUUCACUUCCUCCACCUCCUCCAAUUCUUCUCCCUCACCCAUAAGUUCUUGAAAAGUUUAGAGUCACCCAAUCCCUAUUUGCAAGCAUAGUCUAUGUGUGCUCACAUCUUGGAGAUAAAGUCACAUAUUGACAAGCCAGGAGAGUUGGGUGUCAAAGUCUCGUGAAAGUUGGAUGUUCAAUCACUUUCUUAGUAACAUAGUGAGUCUCUUUGGGACUACUAUGAGACAGAAUAUGACAUGACCCUUAAUGAUGUUAUCUAUUUGCUUGGUGUUGUGGAAUCAGCAAUGAUUUGGAACACCAGUAAAGCAAAUUUGAUUAAAAGAACAACUUCCCAAGUCUUAAAUGGACAUUGACAAUGGUAGCAUUGGAUAUCUAGAAAAGGAUUUCUCUUCCCAAUGGAAAGGGAUCGGCCAUAGUCAACUCGGUUGACCAAAUGGUAAAGAGAAAGGCUAAGUCUGAGAUAGUCUCAUGUGCCAUUACCAAAGGGUCCAUGUGUUUUGUUGCCAAAGGAAGGGGCAUUGGUUGCGAAGCUGCCCUAUUCACCUGAAAGGUCAUAAGGUUGAUCAAGUCAAGAGGUUUGACUCUACUUCGGGUAAAGUCCACUGUCUAACUCUAUUAAGUUCCUAUUUGGAGAUUCUUAUUACAUAAUGUGAAUGGGUCACAUGUUGAUGUUUUUAAGAAUCAAAGAAAAGAUAGGAAGCAUAAAAUAAGUAUAUGUUGAUUCUGAUUGCGAAGGUGGGUUUCGAUCGCAUGGUUCGGUAAUCAGAAUUUUGAGCUGUUGCUUAAGAGUUAUAAUGUAUUGCUUAUGAAUAGAUAACAACAAGGUUUUCAUGUGGAUUGUAAGGAUAAGUUUUUCCGCAAAGUUUUAAAAUAAAAGAAAAAAAGGGUUUUAAUUUUAUUUAUUUUAAAAAUAUCCUUACAAUGGCAUCUGUGGAAAAUUGUUGCUUAUAUGUUUCCAGUAAUAGCAAUAUUGGAAAGUGGAUUUGAUUCUUUCAUUUGUGGUAGUGUCUGAAUUUACCAAAUGAAGAAAGUUUUUCAUCACCCAAGUUUCAAUUGGACAGAAACUUGGAAUCAUACAAGUUGUAUUGUAUGAUGAAUGAGAAUUUUCAUCUUUGAAAAUUAAGACUAAUUCUUUGAUCACAUGUAUAUGUGAGUCAAUUGAAGGACUAAGGAAUUAGGUACACUGGGUGUGCGCUGGUCAAGGUCCACCACAAAGAUUGAUUUGUCAUGAUUUACUAAAGAUUAGUAAAUAUGAUUAUACUUAUGAGGUUAAGUAUAAUUCUGUAACAUUGGAAAGGUUACAAUGUAUGACAAAACAAAUGAGAAGAAUCAAAUUAGGCAGAAAGAUAAAAGUUUCUCAAAUCUGAAAGGAUGGGAGAGUACUUUAGUAUCGUAUUUCAUGAUCAUCUUAAUGAUUAUGAAACCAUAUCACAAAUUCAUACUCUAAGGACGUCUUAGUGCAUUGUUAUGGCUAAGAAGAGAGGUCAUGAAUUGUUGGAUUGGUUAAAAUCAAGAAGAUGAGUCAUACUUCGUUCCAAAACAAUUCUUAGAGUCAUACUCCAAGAUUGUAACUUUGAGUGACAUAAAGGAAGAUUUAUUAACACUAGUCAAAUGUAAGAGUAAAAUGUUUUCUACUCUUGUACAUUUGAGAUUGGUAAGUUGUGAUGUCUUGGAUGAGACAAAGACCAACUAAGACCAAUUGUGUGAAGUGUUAGUCUUGAUAAGAAUCCGCACUAUCCCUUGAAUAUUUGUUUUGUCAAGGAAUGGUUCUUGACUGGGGAAACUUAUAUGUCAAGGGGACAGUGGGAGCCUUAAAGAUCCUGAAAGAGUUUCAAGAUUUAAUCAAGAGUAAAACCUGUAAUUUAUCACUAGCACACGACUUAAGGUUUGCAACCUAUCGUGUUGACAUAAUUCUUAUUUCUGUACCUACUUCAAAUAAGUUGAAUUUGCAUGUGAGUUAUCAGAGUUCAACUUGGAAGCAUUGGUGGGCCUUGUGCUACCAAGGUGACAAGAAACUAAGAUUGAACAAGUUUAAUCCAU